GACGUAGGGCGCGAGCGUUGUCCGGAUUUAUUGGGCGUAAAGAGCUCGUAGGCGGCUUGUCGCGUCGACUGUGAAAACCCGCGGCUCAACUGCGGGCUUGCAGCCGAUACGGGCGAGGCUAGAGUUCGGUAGGGGAGACUGGAAUUCCUGGUGUAGCGGUGAAAUGCGCAGAUAGUCAGGAGGAACACCGGUGGCGAAGGCGGGUCUCUGGGGCAGUAACUGACGGCUGAGGAG
rnacentral:rRNA from 1 species